UCAAAAAAACAAUCUCAGUUCAGACUGCAGGCUGCAACUCGCCUGCACGAAGUCGGAAUUGCUAGUAAUCGUAGGUCAGCAUACUACGGUGAAUACGUUCCCGGGCCUUGUACACACCGCCCGUCAAACCAUGAGAGUUGGCAACACCCGAAGUCGGUAGUCUAGCCGCAAGGAGGACGCCGCCGAAGGUGGGGUUGAUGAUUAGGGUUAAGUCGUAACAAGGUACC
rnacentral:rRNA from 1 species